rnacentral:rRNA from 1 species
AUUGAACGCUGGCGGCAGGCCUAACACAUGCAAGUCGAGCGGAGCGGCGGACGGGUGAGUAAUGCCUAGGAAUCUGCCUGGUAGUGGGGGAUAACGUCAGGAAACGGGCGCUAAUACCGAAUACUAUCAGCUGCGCCUAGGUCGGAUUAGCUAGGGGGGGGGGUAAAGGCCUACCCAGGCGACGAUCCGUAACUGGUCUGAUAGGGUGGUCAGUCAAGCUGGGACUGAGACACGGUCCAGACUCCUACGGGAUGCCGCCGGGGGGAAUAUUGGACAAUGGGCUAAAGCCUGAUCCUGCCAUGCCGCGUGUGUGAAGAAGGUCUUCGGAUUGUAAAGCACUUUUAGUUGGGAGGCGGUGCCAACAGAAUAAACACCGGCUAACUUCGUGCCAGCCGCCGCGGUAAUUC